AGGAUAACGAGGUGAUGGACACAUUCCAAAUUGAGUGUCUGAAGGAUGGUGCAUGGAGUAACAAGAUUCCCACCUGUAAAAAAAGCGAGAUCGAUUUGGAGGAGGAGCUGGAGUCAGAGCAAGUGGCAGAGUGAAAAGAUUGGCAUUGGAGGGAACCCCACACAGUGCAGACAUCUGAGAACGGAUUCCUUACAGAGAACCCAAUCCCUUACAGAGCCGCCCCACCCUGCCCCAUCCACCGACACUCCAUUGCCCACUCCAGUGUGAAUUAGAACGGAUGCUGAGCCAGGCCAGAGCCUCCUCAGCAGACACAGCUACCUGCCUAGGAACAAACUCUCUCCCCCGAGGACUCGCUCACCAUGCAAACUUACUCCCAAAAGCAAUGAAAGACCAUGGGUGGUUAUUUUAAUCUCUAAGUGAACUGUGCUCUUCUCAGAGGAAAAUAGGCCCUUGGCUCAAAAAACACAAAUUUAAUAUACAACCAUAUGACCUAGAACAAUAUGGGCCCUGGUGACUGGUCCACUCCGUACUAUAAGUUUAAAUGGGUCAGGGUGCUAACAACUUAAUGACUUUCAAAUCUCCGGCUUUGCUACUGUCUUCACAACCAUGGGUUUAUAAAAUGAAUAAUAACAACAGAGUGUGGAUGCUGGCG
rnacentral:lncRNA from 1 species